GGCUGUAGACCUGCCUCACAAACUAAAUAAAUCUUGGGCUGCUGAUAUGUAUUGGAUCCACCAUGUGAUUUGUACUGAAGUCCCUCAGGGAGAGGAGACAAUGCGAACGGAUGCCAUGCCCAGCUUCUGACUUCAGAGCCAGCAGUCCCUGCAGCAUGCCUAAGGCAAGCCUGGCACUUCCACACCAGGGCCAAAGCAUUCAGCAUGGUGGCCAGAGAGACUCACAGGGAAAUUUUAAGUCUUAAAAGCGACUGCUGCAGUGGCCCAGCCCAGCAGCUCCUCCGGAGGCUGUUCCCAUCUGGCACCUCUAUCAGAGCACCG
rnacentral:lncRNA from 1 species